rnacentral:lncRNA from 10 species
GAUACAAGUCCAAUUCUGCUCAACUGCUUGUUGAGGCUCGAGUUCAGCCUAAUCCAUCAAAACAUGUUCCCACAUCCCAUCCCCCUCACCACUGUGCAGUGUGUAUGCAGUUUGUGCGAAAGGAAAACCUACUCUCUCUGGCCUGUCAGCACCAGUUUUGCCGCAGCUGCUGGGAGCAGCACUGCUCAGUUCUCGUCAAGGACGGCGUGGGCGUGGUUUCGCUCUUGUUGCCCAGGCUGGAGUACAAUUGCAUGAUCUCAGCUCACCACAACCACUGCCUCCCGGGUUCAAGCGAUUCUCCUGCCUCAGCCUCCUGAGUAGUUGGGAUUACAGGAGUCUCUUGCAUGGCUCAGGACUGUCCACUCCGUACACCAGAGGACUUUGUGUUUCCAUUGCUUCCCAAUGAAGAAUUGAGAGAGAAAUACAGGCGCU